rnacentral:rRNA from 1 species
UUAAGCGACUAAGCGUACACGGUGGAUGCCCUGGCAGUCAGAGGCGAUGAAGGGCGUGCUAAUCUGCGAUAAGCGCCGGUAAGGUGAUAUGAACCGUUAUAACCGGCGAUACCCGAAUGGGGAAACCCAGUGUGACUCGUCACACUAUCAUUAACUGAAUCCAUAGGUUAAUGAGGCGAACCGGGGGAACUGAAACAUCUAAGUACCCCGAGGAAAAGAAAUCAACCGAGAUUCCCCCAGUAGCGGCGAGCGAACGGGGAGGAGCCCAGAGCCUGAAUCAGCAUGUGUGUUAGUGGAAGCGUCUGGAAAGGCGCGCGAUACAGGGUGACAGCCCCGUACACAAAAGCGCAUGUGCUGUGAGCUCGAUGAGUAGGGCGGGACACGUGGUAUCCUGUCUGAAUAUGGGGGGACCAUCCUCCAAGGCUAAAUACUCCUGACUGACCGAUAGUGAACCAGUACCGUGAGGGAAAGGCGAAAAGAACCCCGGCGAGGGGAGUGAAAAAGAACCUGAAACCGUGUACGUACAAGCAGUGGGAGCACAGGUUUACCUGUGUGACUGCGUACCUUUUGUAUAAUGGGUCAGCGACUUAUAUUCUGUAGCAAGGUUAACCGAAUAGGGGAGCCGGAGGGAAACCGAGUCUUAAUUGGGCGUUAAGUUGCAGGGUAUAGACCCGAAACCCGGUGAUCUAGCCAUGGGCAGGUUGAAGGUUGGGUAACACUAACUGGAGGACCGAACCGACUAAUGUUGAAAAAUUAGCGGAUGACCUGUGGCUGGGGGUGAAAGGCCAAUCAAACCGGGAGAUAGCUGGUUCUCCCCGAAAGCUAUUUAGGUAGCGCCUCGUGAACUCAUCUCCGGGGGUAGAGCACUGUUUCGGCUAGGGGGCCAUCCCGGCUUACCAACCCGAUGCAAACUGCGAAUACCGGAGAAUGUUAUCACGGGAGACACACGGCGGGUGCUAACGUCCGUCGUGAAGAGGGAAACAACCCAGACCGCCAGCUAAGGUCCCAAAGUCAUGGUUAAGUGGGAAACGAUGUGGGAAGGCCCAGACAGCCAGGAUGUUGGCUUAGAAGCAGCCAUCAUUUAAAGAAAGCGUAAUAGCUCACUGGUCGAGUCGGCCUGCGCGGAAGAUGUAACGGGGCUAAACCAUGCACCGAAGCUGCGGCAGCGAACACUGUGGUGUUGUUGGGUAGGGGAGCGUUCUGUAAGCCUGUGAAGGUGGCCUGUGAGGGUUGCUGGAGGUAUCAGAAGUGCGAAUGCUGACAUAAGUAACGAUAAAGCGGGUGAAAAGCCCGCUCGCCGGAAGACCAAGGGUUCCUGUCCAACGUUAAUCGGGGCAGGGUGAGUCGACCCCUAAGGCGAGGCCGAAAGGCGUAGUCGAUGGGAAACAGGUUAAUAUUCCUGUACUUGGUGUUACUGCGAAGGGGGGACGGAGAAGGCUAUGUUGGCCGGGCGACGGUUGUCCCGGUUUAAGCGUGUAGGCUGGUUUUCCAGGCAAAUCCGGAAAAUCAAGGCUGAGGCGUGACGACGAGGCACUACGGUGCUGAAGCAACAAAUGCCCUGCUUCCAGGAAAAGCCUCUAAGCAUCAGGUAACAUCAAAUCGUACCCCAAACCGACACAGGUGGUCAGGUAGAGAAUACCAAGGCGCUUGAGAGAACUCGGGUGAAGGAACUAGGCAAAAUGGUGCCGUAACUUCGGGAGAAGGCACGCUGACACGUAGGUGAAGUGAUUUACUCAUGGAGCUGAAGUCAGUCGAAGAUACCAGCUGGCUGCAACUGUUUAUUAAAAACACAGCACUGUGCAAACACGAAAGUGGACGUAUACGGUGUGACGCCUGCCCGGUGCCGGAAGGUUAAUUGAUGGGGUCAGCGCAAGCGAAGCUCCUGAUCGAAGCCCCGGUAAACGGCGGCCGUAACUAUAACGGUCCUAAGGUAGCGAAAUUCCUUGUCGGGUAAGUUCCGACCUGCACGAAUGGCGUAAUGAUGGCCAGGCUGUCUCCACCCGAGACUCAGUGAAAUUGAACUCGCUGUGAAGAUGCAGUGUACCCGCGGCAAGACGGAAAGACCCCGUGAACCUUUACUAUAGCUUGACACUGAACAUUGAGCCUUGAUGUGUAGGAUAGGUGGGAGGCUUUGAAGCGUGGACGCCAGUCUGCGUGGAGCCGACCUUGAAAUACCACCCUUUAAUGUUUGAUGUUCUAACGUGGACCCGUUACCCGGGUUGCGGACAGUGUCUGGUGGGUAGUUUGACUGGGGCGGUCUCCUCCUAAAGAGUAACGGAGGAGCACGAAGGUUGGCUAAUCCUGGUCGGACAUCAGGAGGUUAGUGCAAUGGCAUAAGCCAGCUUGACUGCGAGCGUGACGGCGCGAGCAGGUGCGAAAGCAGGUCAUAGUGAUCCGGUGGUUCUGAAUGGAAGGGCCAUCGCUCAACGGAUAAAAGGUACUCCGGGGAUAACAGGCUGAUACCGCCCAAGAGUUCAUAUCGACGGCGGUGUUUGGCACCUCGAUGUCGGCUCAUCACAUCCUGGGGCUGAAGUAGGUCCCAAGGGUAUGGCUGUUCGCCAUUUAAAGUGGUACGCGAGCUGGGUUUAGAACGUCGUGAGACAGUUCGGUCCCUAUCUGCCGUGGGCGCUGGAGAACUGAGGGGGGCUGCUCCUAGUACGAGAGGACCGGAGUGGACGCAUCACUGGUGUUCGGGUUGUCAUGCCAAUGGCACUGCCCGGUAGCUAAAUGCGGAAGAGAUAAGUGCUGAAAGCAUCUAAGCACGAAACUUGCCCCGAGAUGAGUUCUCCCUGAGACUUAGAGUCUCCUGAAGGAACGUUGAAGACGACGACGUUGAUAGGCCGGGUGUGUAAGCGCAGCGAUGCGUUGAGCUAACCGGUACUAAUGAACCGUGAGGCUUAACCUU